rnacentral:rRNA from 1 species
GACGAACGCUGGCGGCGUGCUUAACACAUGCAAGUCGAACGGAAAGGCCCUGCUUUUUUGCGGUGCUCGAGUUGCGAACGGGUGAGUAACACGUGAGUAACCUGUCCUUCACUUUGGGAUAACCUCAUGAAACUUGGGCUCAUACCGGAUAGGAUCUCCCGCCGCUUGGUGGGGGUGCGUAAGUUUCGCUGGUUGGUGAUGGACUUGCGGCUUAUCAGCUUGUUGGUGGGGUAGUGGCUUACCAAGGCUUUGACGCGUAGCCGGUCUGAGCGGGUAGCAGGCCACGUUAGGAUUGGAAUGCGACCCAGACUCCUAUGCGACGCGAGGGAGGAGUGUAGAGCACAGUGGGAGGGGGCAUGAUGUGACAACGCCACGUGGGGGAUGACAGGCAUCGGGUUGUAAACCACAUUUGCUUGAGACGGGACGUGAGUGACGGUAAUGGGUGAAGAAGCACCGGCUAACUACGUG